rnacentral:hammerhead_ribozyme from 1 species
AGCCAACUGACGAGUCCCAAAUGGGACGAAACACGCGUCCUCGAU